GAUGUCUCAGCUUAACUGUUUAUGUUGUACAGCUACUGUCUUUUCUUCCAUAUUAUUGUAUUAUCCAUCAUGUUAUGAGAUGGUAAAGGUUUUCGUUGUUUGUCGGACUCAUGUCCUGACUCCCUGAUAGUAUGUUAAUAGAAUUGAUUAAGCAUGAAACCGAAGUUGUUGAAGAUAAGUACUUUAUGCGUCACUGAGUUCAGUUCCUAUAUCCACUCUAUAGUCACGAUACUUGGAUUUUGUGAUCCAUUCUCUUCGAAACUGCAUAUGUAAUUUAAAUAACACCAAGAACAGCAGGCUCAGUUGUUGAAAGCUGAUAUAACAUUUUGGAAACUGGAGGGGGCAGAAAGACAAAAUAGAUAAAUCAUGAAGACUGAUCGUGGUUGAAUGUGGCGGUGCAUAGAUAACAACAGUUACUUCACAAAGUCGAUGAAGGUUCCUAAUCAAAGGGUAAAGGUGACUCUGAUUUAUAGUAGAUUUAUUGAAAUUGAUGAUGGAGGGCAUCUCACAAAUGAUAUUAAGCUCAUUUCUGGAGAGGCAUGGCCAAGAUGGCAUAAAAAGUGCCAAAAGCAACUAAAGAUUGGCUUUCGGAGAGAAUAAAGAUGGUAAUUUCAUGCCAUUCAUCAACAACAGCAAACUCGUAAUCUUGCAUGGUUUUGGUGCUCAGAUGAUUCCAUUUGCUUUUCUUGACAAGUAAAAGUACAAGGAAGGGUGCAGGAGGGAUGAACUGUUGAAUGAAAUCUCAAGAACUAUGUUAAGGCAGGUCUUAGUUAUCAGAUCCAUUCAUCAUUGGCACAACUUCUACAAAUAUAUUGUGUGCAAUAAGCUGUCAAUUGCAUUAAGACUGCAGUUCGAGGUGAAAUUUUUUUAGUUAUUUUUAAAAUUUAUUCCUGAAAAAAUAUAUUAUCCUUAGUUUAUUUAUUU